GCCCCAGGAUAGAAGCUCCAAUGGUCAGAGCCAUAGCAGUUUUGGGCAUCACAACAGACUUCCUAAGCAUAGCUAUGAAGGGCACGGCUGCAUGCACUGCUGCAAACCAUGAUAGUGAAAACUUCUUAAUAUGUUCCAAACACGGCAAUUGCAUAUGCCAAAAGCAUAAUCAAUGGAAUGCCAAGACCCCAGAGUUAAUACCUGCCACGACUUCGAGACCGUGAUCUAUGCCUUGGUCGAGGCAAGGAUCUAGAUCUGGACCUUGAUCUGGGCCUCGAGUGGGAUCUUGAUCUAGACCUUGACAAACAUGGCAACAUAUUUUUUAACCUCCAGAAAUUGGUACUCACAAGGAGAGACAGGGAGAGAGGUUGUCCCAAUAUCCACUUCUCAUGAUUAGCUUGGCUUUGACAUUUUGGUAAUUUC
rnacentral:lncRNA from 1 species